UACGAAGGGGGCUAGCGUUGUUCGGAAUCACUGGGCGUAAAGCGCAUGCAGGCGGAUUGUUAAGUCGGGGGUGAAAUGCUGCGGCUCAACCGCAGCGCUGCCUCCGAGACUGUAGGGCUCGAGUCCGGAAGAGGUAAGUGGAACUCCUAGUGUAGAGGUGGAAUUCGUAGAUAUUAGGAAGAACACCAGUGGCGAAGGCGGCUUACUGGUCCGGAACUGACGCUGAGGUGCGAAAGCGUGGGGAGCAAACAGG
rnacentral:rRNA from 1 species